rnacentral:lncRNA from 1 species
UGUCGGGAUACCAUUACAGGAGUCUGAGCCUUAGAGUGAAAGAGGGGUGUAUUCCCUAGGAAGUAUUACACAAAGAAUGGCUGGAGUCUCCAUUACCCCAAACUAAGCAAGUGAAGUAAAAUAGCUAAGGACAGAAACUGUGUCCACUUCAAGUUGCGGCUUGGCCGGGCACCUGCUGAAGAAUGCUUCCGGGGACCCCCGACACUAGCCUGCGCUUCCCUGGGAACAGAGGGUUGGAAUUCUCUGAAAGAAGCCAUACCGGGUCUUCCUCUUUGGAGUCCUCCACCUUCUCUCGACCUCACUCCUGAUC